UGAGGAAUAUUGCACAAUGGGCGCAAGCCUGAUGCAGCAACGCCGCGUGCGGGACGAAGGCCUUCGGGUCGUAAACCGCUUUUCUGGGGGAAGAGCAAGGACGGUACCUCAGGAAUAAGUCUCGGCUAACUACGUGCCAGCAGCCGCGGUAAAACGUAGGAGACAAGCGUUAUCCGGAGUUACUGGGCGUAAAGGGCGUGCAGGUGGCGUCUUAAGUCUGUUGUGAAAGCGCCUGGCUUAACCGGGCGAGGCCAAUGGAGACUGAGAGGCUGGAGGACGGCGGAGGGGUGUGGAAUUCCGGGUGUAGUGGUGAAAGGCGUAGAGAUCCGGAGGAACACCAGAGGCGAAGGCGGCACUCUAAGCCGUACCUGACACUGAGACGCGACAGCACGGGGAGCAAACG
rnacentral:rRNA from 1 species